rnacentral:tRNA from 1 species
UCCCGAGUAGCUCAGCGGUAGAGCGAUCGGCUGUUAACCGAUUGGUCGUAGGUUCGAUUCCUACCUCGGGAGCCA